AAAAAGACAAACCCUGGAUUUCCGUGUCUAACGUUUGACUAUCCGUCUUAUAUAAAUUUUUUUAUAAUUAAUACGUAUUUUCAUUGUUGUCAGAUAAUAAAACAUGAUUAAUACUUUAUGCGUGACUUGUCUUUUUAAUUUUUUUCAUAAUUUUUUUAAAUAAGAUGGACGGUUAAACGUUGGAUACGAGAAUCCAGAGUUUGUCUUUUU
rfam:Oryza glumipatula chromosome 11, whole genome shotgun sequence.